AUUGAACGCUGGCGGCAGGCCUAACACAUGCAAGUCGAGCGGAUGAAGGGAGCUUGCUCCUGGAUUCAGCGGCGGACGGGUGAGUAAUGCCUAGGAAUCUGCCUGGUAGUGGGGGAUAACGUCCGGAAACGGGCGCUAAUACCGCAUACGUCCUGAGGGAGAAAGUGGGGGAUCUUCGGACCUCACGCUAUCAGAUGAGCCUAGGUCGGAUUAGCUAGUUGGUGGGGUAAAGGCCUACCAAGGCGACGAUCCGUAACUGGUCUGAGAGGAUGAUCAGUCACACUGGAACUGAGACACGGUCCAGACUCCUACGGGAGGCAGUAGUGGGGAAUAUUGGACAAUGGGCGAAAGCCUGAUCCAGCCAUGCCGCGUGUGCGAAGAAGGUCUUCGGAUUGUAAAGCACUUUAAGUUGGGAGGAAGGGCAGUAAGUUAAUACCUUGCUGUUUUGACGUUACCAACAGAAUAAGCACCGGCUAACUUCGUG
rnacentral:rRNA from 1 species